rnacentral:rRNA from 1 species
UACGAAGGGUGCAAGCGUUACUCGGAAUCACUGGGCGUAAAGCGUGCGUAGGCGGUUCGUUAAGUCUGCUGUGAAAGCCCUGGGCUCAACCUGGGAACUGCAGUGGAUACUGGCGGACUAGAGUGUGAUAGAGGAUGGUGGAAUUCCCGGUGUAGCGGUGAAAUGCGCAGAUAUCCGGAGGAACACCUGUGGCGAAAGCGGCUCACUGGACCACACUGACGCUGAGGCGCGAAAGCUAGGGGAGCAAACAGGG